AAAAUCACUCAAUAGUUCGUCCCUUCGGGGACAUCCGAUAAAAUUGGAACGAUACAGAGAAGAUUAGCAUGGCCCCUGCGCAAGGAUGACACGCACAAAUCGAGAAAUGGUCCAAAUUUUUUUGCCAUUUUUUUCCUUCGGAUUUUCCCAGAAAAUCUUCUGCAUCUUUCGUUUUCCUUCUGUUGUUCAGAUUGUAACUCAUACAUAAGUUUCAACCCAAGAUUGAUUGUUGCUUCAAGCAGUGUUAUGCAUUCAGAUUGAUUGUAGUUCAUAAUGGAAUUAGAGAUUGGUCUUCUAGUUAACUCUGUAUCAACAGAAUGCAGAUAUUAUUUCUGGGCUGCACCUGGUUGACGAAUUUCUCAUUCAAGCUGCAACUGGUACGGGUGAGUUAUUAAAUGUCUUGUAGUUUAUCAAAUUCUGUUAACUCUCUUCAAUUUCAUUUUUAGCUUCCAUGAGCAUAAGUUGUAUUGCGACUGCAUUUUAAAACAGUGUCUAGGGUGCGUUUAGCUAGGUACAUUGGAUUGUGUAGCGUGUUAAGAGAGGUAUAACUUAAAAAAUAAGCAGAAGAUGAUUGCUAGUUUGCAAUUAUUAGACAAAGAGAAUGAGAUUGAACUUAAAUGAUUGUAAAGCAAUUUAUUUUUCAUUAUGCAUUCGAGUUUACAUACUAACAGCUGGAAGAAUAAUCUUCAAAGUACAACAACAUAAUCACAUGAUGAUACAUCAAAAGGGAGAAAAAACUUGAUAUAACAAUACUCAGUGUUGUCAAAUAGGGGCUAUAGCAGUACUACAGUGCUAUAACGUAGCGGAAUUUGAAUUAAUCGCUAUUGUUCCGCGUAACACUGUUUAGUACAAAGUGUUGUUAAAUAGUGGCUUUAGCAGUGCGGAAUUUGAACGAACCACUAUUUUCGGCAAUCCGCAAUUGACAACAUUGACGAUACUGGAUACAACACUAGCACGUAUAAAUGGAGCAGUCCAAGACUAUCUAUCACUAUAGUAUAGAGAAGUCUUCGUGUCCUAAAAAACAGACAAUUGAUCCUAAAAGGAUGAAAAGUGAUGUAAACGUAAUGCUACACAAUGAAAUUUAUUUUUGUAAUAUAUAUCCUCAAGACAAUGAGCGGCCUCUGAGAAAACGCCAGGGUCCUGUUCUCGUUCCCAUCCUGCAUAUGCAUUCGACAUGUUUGUAAAACAAUAUUGUAUAAUAGAAUUAUAAGAUCUUUGAAGAAGAAGAGUUACCAUAAAUAAUUUUAUGAAUGUUUUGUAAAGAAUAUAAGGAAAGUUUACCUCCAUACACCAGCAAACAUACGAAGACUCAUAUAGAUGGUUAGAGCAAUCCAGAUCCCAAUAAAACCCUUACUCUUGUAGAGAAUAAAUAAUGAAGUAACACUGGCUAAUGAGACCAGAACCUGAAAAAAUAGCAAAAAAAAUUUAUAAAUAAAUAUGUAUAGAUCAAGAUGACAAAAUACGAAAAAAUUUAGGAAGUAAAUGAGCAUGAAAACUUGCCAAGGAGUAUGCAGAAUAAGCAAAAUCAGAUGCUCCAUAGUUCACACCAUCAAAGACAAAAGCUAAUGAAUUGAUAGGUUGUGUAGCAGCAACAAACUGGCGAGUUAAAAUGAAAUUAGAUAAAACUAGAACACAAAAAAUUAGAUGUAAUUCACUAGUAUAACUAACUUUUACACCUAAUAUAAAACAUAACAAACUAAUCCAUUGUGUUGUGCUAGGAAAAUAUACCGGGAUGCCUAGUCUGAUUAGGUGAAUAACAGCAACGUCUUUUGAAAAUACUCCAGCUCCAAAGUACAAUCCACCCCCAACUACAAGAGAGAGUCCAACUCCUAAAACAAAACUCAUUUGCAGUGUCCUUGUUGCUGCAGUAGUCACUUUAUCAUAGUCUUUCUCAGCAAAUGAACAUGCUAGAAUUGCCUGUUAGAAAGGGAAACUUAAUCAGUAAGUACAUUAAUGCUUAUUUAACUUUCAUUAUAUCUUGUCAAAAAAAAAAAAAAACUUUCAUUACAUUUUUGCACAAAGAAGUGUAUAUCUUACAUCUCAAUAACAAGAAUAAAAAUGUUAUGUUGAUGUACCUGUAUAGCAACGGCUAAACCAUCGGCAAGAAGGGAUGAUGUCAUCCAAACCUGAAGGCAAGUUUGGAAUGCAGCCAUUGGAAUUGGACCUAACCUUGCUGCUAAUGAGGCUGAUAAGGUCACACAGAAUGUCACUGCUAUAACUCUGGCCAACAACAGACCACCUAUUGAAAUUGAAAACAAAUUCCAACAUAUAAAUUUUACUUAUCUUCCGGCCAAACUCUGAUUACCGGAGUUCCUUUCUCUUUGGAACUGGAGGGUUAAGACCAAUGGUCGUCUUUUGACCGGAAAAAUAUUUUGUUGUGAUGGUGAAUUUUUUUUUUUUUUUAUCUAUUUCUUAUUUUUAAUAGAGUAGAGUGAGAUUUCAAUUAAAAUAUAGACUCUAAUACAAACAUACUAUAUUUAUUUAAUGUACUCCAUCAUACCAUUUU